rnacentral:lncRNA from 1 species
AUCGCCCCCCCGUCUUCAUUAUUGUCCCACUUCUGGCGUCUCUCUCCUGCACGCGACCGCAUAAACACAAACAAAGCGUUGCGUGUUUACCUGUCCUACACGGGGUGGCUGCGCGUCCCGGUGGUCGCGAGGAGCGCCUGUCAGUCAGCACAGAGCGGAAAGUGGAGGAGAGGGAGCUAAAGUGCGGCUGCUCGACCCCGCUGAUCAGUACAUGGACCCCCAUUAGACCUACACGCACUUAUGCAUUUCCUAUGAGCAGCUGAGUGAUGGUAGAAAUUAUAAGGUUGUGCAAGGUAAGAGGUUUUUGGCGCAUUUAAUACGCCGAGCUCGCCAAUACACAUAAAGUAAUUACUGGCUACAGGAACUACAGUGGAAGAUAUCUGGCGUCUUACAUUUCAGGUAAAGGCAACAAGACGUAGCCCGGAAGGACUUCUCUCUUCUCGGCACCGUUUGGCGCUUGUUUUCCGUCAACACCGAGCAGCGGGCGUGGAAAAAUCCCACCACAACUAUUAAUCAUGCUGGGCGGACACAGGCAGCAUCCCACUCCCACACCAGGCUUUGUCUCCUCAAACUACAAAUGUGAGGCUGUCACCGGGAUUACAUGGCUCGACGUGACCGCGCAACUGGAAGAUUAUCCCACGUUGCCUUUCGCCACCGCACCUGAACUUUUCCCUGACCCGGGCAGAGGCGAGGAGUGGGGAGUUAUUUAGGGGCUCAAAACAAGGAGAAGACGAAAAUCAAAGGCUCUCAGCUGGUCGCCUGUACUUUUUCACUUUUUCAUGCACUGUUUUCCAGACCUCCUCGAAAAAGUAGCACGUGAUUGAUUAUGUUUUAAAUUUCAACACAUUUAGCAUAAAACAAACGAUUUGCUGAUAUUUACACAAACCAGGGCUCCUUAUCACUGUCGGCAAAAAGGAGUGAGAGUUGCAGACCUGUGGAUGUUGGCCAUGGAGAGGUCCAUAUCUUCCCACAAUGUUGACAAUCGGAGCUCUUAACAGUCAUACUUUGGUUACCGAUAGUCUGAACAGAAGAUAACUCUUUCUGUGAGGUUUACUCCGGACAACAUCAAGGCAAAGGCGGAAUCCAACAGCCCUACCCUGCGAGGAGAGUCUUCUUUAAUAUGUGCAGACCAACACUGGAGGAGCGGAACUGUUUGUUUAUAGUUGUAAUAAAGUGAUUUUGAAGUCAUUUUGAUUGUCAAAUACAAUUGCCUGGCUGUUUUGAUGAGUAAGUGGAAAUGUUUCAAUGACUGUCAGGUGAGUGGCUCCCAAACAGGGCAUGGUAUGUAAGAACAGGGGCAAUAAUAACAAUAAUAAUAAUAAUAAUAAUAAUAAUAAUAAUAAUAAUAAUAAUAAUAAUAAUAAUAAUAAUAAUAGACCCCUGAGUUCGUUUUGAAUGUCCCCUUAACAGAUCAUUUGAAGCAACACAUCCCAUGGUAACUAUUGCUUAAACGCCAGAGUAAUCAACGACAUAACAUUUAUUUUAUUUUAUUUUAUAUUAACUUCAUGCACAGAGCGAUUCUAUUUUAACAGACUGACUUGUUGUUUUUGCGUUUGAUUAGUUUGAAUUUAUUGCCAAUUCAAUAAUGCUACUACCUUCUUCUCAUUUGAUUUUUAUAGUUUAAAGUGUAUUACUGGGAAUAAAGAUAAGUGACGAAGCUGCAGGACUGGAACAAGCUUGUUUAAGUUAAAGUGGAGAAAACUUGUUCUGAUUCAUGAUGUGACCUUCAAACAUGACAUAUAUAUGACACUCUCUUGAAUACGCCAGGUGUUGCUACUUAUACUCAGUUAAUUCAUCGGAGUUAUUUACAAUUAAAGUUUUAAUUCAAUAUUCUUCCUUCUCUUAAGGUGAAAAACUUGCUCCGCUUGAUUGCAAAGCGCCGUCAAUCAGGUCAGCCAAGUUACACUGCAGUAUUUAUAAAACCAAAAAGCUUUUUUUUGUUAUUUGAAUGCACGAAAUAUUACCUCUGUAGUUCAGUUAUUACCACAAAAUAAGAAUGAGCCAAAUACUCACAAGACAUGACGGUCAAUGUCCAGCAAACAGAAUUUUGUCAGAAGAGAGGAGCCCUGACUCGCACCCUGCAGAGGAUCACUUCAAAUGAAAAUAACUCAGAUUUUCAGAUCUAUUUCUGACCCCGGGGGCAUUCAUUAUUCAACAAGUCACGUGAAGAGGCGAAUUAAAUUUUCAGCACAUUGGAAGUGACCUCUAUUCGUGAAUCAAAUGACUUGAAAUCUGUAAUUUAGCCAUAGUUGGACUUUUUGGAGUCUGCGCAAAAUCGGUGCCAAUCAGCCAAUGCCAUCUCUAACACAGCAUUCCCUGC